UAAAAGUGGUGCCUGGCCUGUCCUGCCUUUGGCUGUGCUCUCCAACUAGUCCCUUGGAUUGCCUUGGUCAGAUCACCAAAGAUCAAGACUUAAUUCACUGCAAGUCUCAUAAUCAAAAGGACUGAAGCAAAGCAUGUGGAGAAAAAAAUAUUCCAGAUUCCCUGAAAACAGAGAGCCACGCCGAAUUGCCGUUCUGGGUUCUAGAACAUGCGUACAGCUUGGUGCAAUGUGCACUUUGAGCACUAGGUGGAAACAGAGCAAUGAAAAUGAGACCCGUUAUCAACCCUUCAGCACAACAAAUGGAAGAGCUUUUCUCAACAAACGUGACGGAUCCCAGAAGGGAGGAACGGCAGCUAAAAUCCACUUCAUUUUGUUGGGGGGCUUCUAUCAUUCUAUCUCCUUUCACACACAACUAUAACACUGCUGAUUACCAAUAAGCUGCUCAAUUUCAUUAUGCAUGUUUGCCCAAGUUCUGCAUCUGUGCCCACCUUUUAACCAAGAAGAGGCCAGACAACUCAUAUCUCAAGCCAAUUUUACGAAUUGAAGAAGAUUUCAACUGCCUGAGGUGACUUACAGCUCAGAUGCCAGAGCAAGUACUCAUACUGAUGGAAUUCAAGUCAAAAUCUGAACCGAACUUGAAACCUGUUGGAGCUUGGGAGUCACUAAGACUAUUGUUCCAGAUCCAAGAAAACAUAAUCUUCUAUCUACUGAGUAAAUAUAUUCAAUAAGUUAGAUUAAAUUAUUUCAAGCACAUUUUCUAAACUCUGUAGGGGCAAAUGCUAAGCUAAACUCAAAGAGCUAGUAUCAUAUAGGUGCAUAAACCUACCGUCCACAAUCCUGAAAGAAGUUUGUGCGUGAUGUGUACAAUGAAGGUUAGAUAGGUCAAUAUAUAAAUGCAGUUAUAAAGUAAAGCCUUAGGAUGUGGAAAGGUUUUGAGGAAUUCAGUUACAGUUGCCAUUAAAUUAAACCUGCCAGUGGGAUACUGUAUAUUUCCUCAAAGAUUUUUGAAAAUAGUUUAAAAAAUAAAUAAAUUCCACAGGACAAGUAGUGUCUAGCUUAGUCCUUUAUCCCUCAUGAGGUGGUCAUCCCAAUCCUUAUGUUUAUCUUUUAGAGAAGACACACAUUAAAUAGCAUGAAAAUCUCCUUGCAAUAUAAUAAAAGAGUGUCACUUAUCCUUCACUUACAACUGAAAGGUGAUGAAUUCCUUAAUAAAGUACAGGAAUUGUUAAACACA